ACGCUGGCGGCGUGCCUAAUACAUGCAAGUAGAACGCUGAAGGAGGAGCUUGCUUCUCUGGAUGAGUUGCGAACGGGUGAGUAACGCGUAGGUAACCUGCCUGGUAGCGGGGGAUAACAAUUGGAAACGAUAGCUAAUACCGCAUAACAGUAGAUGUUGCAUGACAUUUGCUUAAAAGGUGCAAUUGCAUCACUACCAGAUGGACCUGCGUUGUAUUAGCUAGUUGGUGGGGUAACGGCUCACCAAGGCGACGAUACAUAGCCGACCUGAGAGGGUGAUCGGCCACACUGGGACUGAGACACGGCCCAGACUCCUACGGGAGGCAGCAGUAGGGAAUCUUCGGCAAUGGACGGAAGUCUGACCGAGCAACGCCGCGUGAGUGAAGAAGGUUUUCGGAUCGUAAAGCUCUGUUGUAAGAGAAGAACGAGUGUGAGAGUGGAAAGUUCACACUGUGACGGUAUCUUACCAGAAAGGGACGGCUAACUACGUGCCAGCAGCCGCGGUAAUACGUAGGUCCCGAGCGUUGUCCGGAUUUAUUGGGCGUAAAGCGAGCGCAGGCGGUUAGAUAAGUCUGAAGUUAAAGGCUGUGGCUUAACCAUAGUACGCUUUGGAAACUGUUUAACUUGAGUGCAAGAGGGGAGAGUGGAAUUCCAUGUGUAGCGGUGAAAUGCGUAGAUAUAUGGAGGAACACCGGUGGCGAAAGCGGCUCUCUGGCUUGUAACUGACGCUGAGGCUCGAAAGCGUGGGGAGCAUACAGGAUUAGAUACCCUGGUAGUCCACGCCGUAAACGAUGAGUGCUAGGUGUUAGACCCUUUCCGGGGUUUAGUGCCGCAGCUAACGCAUUAAGCACUCCGCCUGGGGAGUACGACCGCAAGGUUGAAACUCAAAGGAAUUGACGGGGGGCCCCGCACAAGCGGU
rnacentral:rRNA from 1 species